rnacentral:rRNA from 1 species
UUUACUAUAGCUUGACACUGAACAUUGAGCCUUGAUGUGUAGGAUAGGUGGGAGGCUUUGAAGUGUGGACGCCAGUCUGCAUGGAGCCGACCUUGAAAUACCACCCUUUAAUGUUUGAUGUUCUAACGUUGACCCGUAAUCCGGGUUGCGGACAGUGUCUGGUGGGUAGUUUGACUGGGGCGGUCUCCUCCUAAAGAGUAACGGAGGAGCACGAAGGUUGGCUAAUCCUGGUCGGACAUCAGGAGGUUAGUGCAAUG